rnacentral:lncRNA from 1 species
AGAUCUUCAAAGGUUGCCUCCUAGGGCAACCUUAUUUUACUUAGUGACCCCCACCUCCUGAGCCCAUGCCAGACUGGAUCAGGUGCCGGACAUCUGACACAAGUUGGGCCAAUCAGUUUUUCUUCUAGAAAUUUGGGGUUGGAGUGUGGCUGAACCUGUAAAACACAAACUUGGAAGCUGUAGGAUAGCCACAUAAGUUAUGCGAAUGGAGAAACAGAAGAAAGAAGAAUCAGGCAAAAGCUGAGGGGAAGGCAGAAAAACGAAUAUUUAGGGAGCACCUCCAUGCACCAGGAAUGACUCAGUACUGGGAAUGCAACACAGAAAAGGAGACUAGUGUAUCAGUAUCAUCGAUGAGACUCAGCUGACUCAACACCAUUCGGCGGAAACCAGGAAUACUUUCUUAGCAGCAAACACGGCCUAGUUUGCCAUCAUCCAAAUAAGGUCAAAUCAUUUUAGAACUUAUUUCAUCCAUACCUCUCAACUGUGCCACCUGCUGCCUGCUGGCAUCUCUUGACUGUCAGAGUCCGAGGCUUUACCAGAUCUCUUUUAAGGCUCUUUAAAGAUCUUUGUGGGACCUUUUAAUUUUGGAAACCAUACUCCAGAUCACAUCAGACGUAUUAAAAAUCCCCUGUCCCCCAUAUCCUAUAGGAAAUAUAGGAGCAGUAGACUAGUAAGUGUAAUGCAAUGACAUUUUGUUUUAAAUUAAAUUCUUAAUAAUUUUGAUUUGAUGGAUUGGGUUAAGGUUUAGGGAUCCAAGGAAUAAUGCCUUUCACCUUCCCUCCUGAGUUCAGAACUAAAGAUGAAAUAUAUUCAGGGGUCAGAAAGAUGGACAUCAAGAUAUCAACUUUAUUAUGAGGAAAAGCUGAAUAUGGUUUAAAUGUGUGGCAACAGAGAGCUUCCUUUUUAAAAAAUUUUGUUAUUUUUAUUAGAGUAUAUUUCAUUUACACAGAGAGCUUUCUAAUACCACCCUCUGAAAUGAACUUGCAGCCCUCCCCCCAAAACCUUCAGGCUUCCCCCACUUGCCACUGUGUGGAUAGAAGGCCAGAAUGGACCCUUGGUGCAGGGUCUGAAAGAGGGACAGAGGGAGGAGCUGAGUGGCAGAUGUUCAGAUUUUCUCCAAACUUAUUGCCAAAAAAAAAGAGAGAGAGAGAGAAGGUAAAAGAUAUGAGAGGUCAGGAGUAUUUUUAGCUGAAAUUCCUCCACAUNAAAGAUCUGAGAGGUCAGGAGUAUUUUUAGCUGAAAUUCCUCCACAUGAGAUUAUCCGGCCAUUUGUUGCAACAUGGAUGGACCUAGACAUGAUCAUACUAAGUGAAGUAAGUCAGAGAGAGAAAGACAAGUAUCAUGGUAUCACUUCUAUGUUGAAUCUUAAAAAAAUGAUACAAAGGAACUUAUUUGCAAAAUAGAAAUAAACUUGCAGACAGAAAACAAACUAUGGUUACCAAAGGGGAAAGGUGGGGGAGGGAAAAAUUAGGAGUUUGGGCUUAACAGACACAAUUGACUACAUAUAAAAUAGAUAAACAACAAUGACCUACUGAAUAGCACAGGGAGCUAUAUUUAACAUCUUACAAUAAACAAAAAUGGAAAAGAAUCUGGGAAAGAAUAUAUAUAUGUACACAUAUGUGUGUGUAACUGAAUCACCUUGCUGUACACCUGAAACGUUAUGACUCAACGGUACUUCAAUUUUUAAAAAAGAAGGAAAAUAUCAGGCCAGGGAAUGAUGGGUUUCCUUCUGGACCCAGUACUGGAUCCUGUGCUGACCUGACGGACAUAAUGACAACAGGUUCCAUCUCACCAUUUGGACCUUGUGUGGUCUGUCUCACAGCCAUGGUUAGACACCCCCCUUUCUACUCUCCUGGGCUUGCCUAGAGCUGGCCCCCCCACGUGGGGAUGCAGCUCUGACAUUUAUGGCUCUUGAUUCCUGUGUAAUCCUCUCCACCACGGAAUAGGACUAUGUCAGAAGCAAAAACAAACAAACAAACAAAACAAAAACCCCUGUUCAAAUUAGCUUAAUUCAUAUUCGGGAAAUUUGCUAUUUUACAUUCCAAUAAAGGAAAAUUCCAAUGUUCCGU